rnacentral:rRNA from 1 species
UACGUAGGGUGCGAGCGUUAAUCGGAAUUGACUGGGCGUAAAGCGUGCGCAGGCGGUUUUGUAAGCCAGAUGUGAAAUCCCCGGGCUUAACCUGGGAAUGGCAUUUGGGACUGCAAGGCUUGAGUGCGGCAGAGGAGAACUGGAAUUCCUGGUGUAGCGGUGAAAUGCGCAGAGUAUCAGGAAGAACACCCGUGGCUAAGGCGGCUCUCUAGUACGGUACUGACGCUGAGACGCGAAAGCGUGGGGAGCGAACAGG